UGCGCGUCUGCUUUCUGAAGCCUUGCUUAAAAUCCUGUCCUUGAGUUCGUUUUUUUUUUUUUUUUAUUAAUUUUGAAUGCAACAGGAUCUGUAAGGAAUAAUUGGUCUUUUCACAAAAUUAUCUGUCAUAAUAUCCGUGGAUGUAUAUUCAUUUAUGAUAUUGCUGCUGCUCCUGCCGCUCAACCAUAGGACAUGGAUCACGCGAGCCACGAAGUAUAGGGUUCCGAUUACUUGGAAAGUUGAAAGGUAUGAGAACGCAGUAAGUGGCCACCAGAUCGGCGCUAGUUACCAGCGAGAUGCUCGUGGGCACAAUGUAAGAAUAGCAUUGAUGUGUCCAGUCUAACGAUAAGCAGUGAAAGAUAAAGGAAAAGUGUCAUCGGGUGAGUCGAGCGAAAUGACACCGCGUUGUGCGAGAAUUUGCUCAGGCUAGUUAGCUGCAGAAGCUCCAAAAAACGAAGGACGAACACUGAGGUAUAAGAAUGAGGAAUAGGGGUAUGCACGUUACAUCGAUAGAUACAUUUUAUCAUACAACGUAUGCACCUAAGGAAUAAUAAUUGAUAUGUAUCGCAAUUAAGGACACUAUAAUCAAUCGUAUACUUUGUCACCAUCGAGAGGGCCUACGGGGAAAAAUUACUUCCAUGCAGUGCAUCAGAAAAUAGAUUAAGCUAUUUUUCGAAAUCGGCCAAAUUUCGACUGGAAAAAUUCAAAGGGGGCUCUUCUCCGACUGAUUGGACCCACAGAAAUGCGAAAACGACAUCGAAAAAAGCUUACGGCCAACAGCAGAAGAAUUACAAGGGAAAUUUAUCCUUCGGCUGUGCACCAAAGACUUGAAUUGGGUAUUUUUCAAAAUCGGCCUAGUUUCUAAUGAACAAAUCCUAAGGGGUUAACCUACUUUUUUUGUUAUUUUUGGAGCCAAAUACUUUUCGUCUCAGAAUCGACUCAAGCGACACUUUCUUGGCUAACAGGACCUCAAAGAGUGAAAAAAAGGUAUUUGGAGCGUCGAGAGACCAACACCUGAGAAGAUACAAAGAAACUACAGAGAAAUUUAUGUUAGUAUUAGUCAUUUUAUUUAACCAUACAAUAUUAUACAACUCGUAAUCCUGCAGAGGUGCAUUGCAUCUGUACGCAGGCUAAAACAUAAGCUGCGCUUACAAACUACAAUGAUGAUAAUUUUAUACCACAUUGUUCAUUUUCUGCGCAGGGCAAUGUACAUCGCAGUGUUUUUUUCUUACAUAGUCGUCAGAAGUCUCAUGUAAUGUACGUUCAUUAUAUUGCACUUU